rnacentral:ncRNA from 1 species
UGGCACGUACGGUUCUUAGAGGGGGAAAGCCCGAGAGGACCUACCUAUCUCAACUAUUUAAUUCGUAGGUACGCGAAAAACCUUACCACAACUUGAAUAUUAUCUAUCAGGAUAUUACAAGCGUUGCACGGCUGUCUUCAGUUAAUGUCGUGAGAUGCCGGUUAACUCCUUUAAAUUAACGGAAACCCUUGCUUUAAUUAUGAAAAGAAAUAAAGCAGUUCACCAUCUAAAUCGGAUAUGAUCACAGGGGGCAAGACAAGUCAUCAUGGCCUAAAUGUUGUGGGCAAUAGACGUGCCACAUAUUCCUAUACAAAAUGAUGCGAUAAUGCGAAUUGGAGCUAAUCAUCUAAAGUAGGAUAUAAUAAGGAUUGUAGUCUGAAACUCGACUAUAUGAAUAAGGAAUUACUAGUAAUCGUGAAUAAGAACGUCACGGUGGAUUUAAUCUCAUUUGGGUACUAACUACUCGUCAGGCGCUGAAAUAAGUGUGUGCAAUAAGUUUGGUUUUUUUUAUAUUUUUUAUUCUAGAUAAUUAGUUCUAGUUAUCUAUAAGGAAAAUCUUCGUAUGCGUGACUUUAAUUAGUGUUAAGUCGAAAUAUGGUUCGUGUAGUGGAAGUUGCACGGG